CAGUCGCCACGGUAAAACAGAGGGUGCGAGCGUUAAUCGGAUUUACUGGGCGUAAAGCGUGCGUAGGCGGCUUCUUAAGUCGGAUGUGAAAUCCCUGAGCUUAACUUAGGAAUUGCAUUCGAUACUGGGAAGCUAGAGUAUGGGAGAGGAUGGUAGAAUUCCAGGUGUAGCGGUGAAAUGCGUAGAGAUCUGGAGGAAUACCGAUGGCGAAGGCAGCCAUCUGGCCUAAUACUGACGCUGAGGUACGAAAGCAUGGGGAGCAAACAGGAUUAGAUACCCCUGUAGUCCCUGUCUCUUAUAA
rnacentral:rRNA from 1 species